CAAUCUCCUCCACUCCCUCUCCCCAAACGUGGCAUUCUCACUCGGCCUUGCCCCCCGCACCUUGGUGUGAAAGGCCAGCCUUUCCCAACGCCAAGGCAAGUUGAAUGACUGAUUCUAGCUUCUGUUGGGAAAGUUUCCCGUCUGUGAGUUAUAGGACUUUCUGGUGCUCUGCCCGGUUCUGGAAAAAGGCAUCUCCUUGAACUUCCUUUCUGGUGUCCUUCAAACUCAGCCUAACCUAGCUCAGCAACACUGCCACCCUAGCCUUCCCAGUUUGAGCCCCUGGAGGAUCCGACAGACGUCCCGCAAAGACGCUGUGCCCUCCUUCCGGUCCCUCCGCAGAGCCAGGCACUGCGCGCAAGAAAGGGUUCAGGAGACACCGCUCGUAACUCGCGGGCAACUCUCGGAAUCGCCUAUGGUCUCCUUAGGGUCUGACUUCUCCGUGGCCAGAGCCCCCGAGCCAGUCCCCCAUCCAGUGAUUCGGCAGCAGGUGGCAGAGGCGCUGCGAGGAAGGGCUAGGGAGGGGGCACCUCACUCUUGGGCUGGUGGUUCAAGCUCGGGCUUCCAGUCCUCCGCCCCCGCGCCCCCGCGCCCAGCGCCGCGCAGCGCCCCCGGCGCCCCCCGCCGGCCUCCGCCCGCACCUGCAUCCGCUCCGAGCGCCUUGCCUGCUGCCACCGCCGCCGCCGCCGCCACCACCACCGCCGACUCUCUCACUCUCAGCGCGGCGGACGCCCCCGGGCCGAGCGGCGAGUGUGCUCCGGUGCCAGACCCAUCGCCAGACGUCCCUGGGCCGCUUGACUCCGGAGUCCCGCUCCUGAACCCUGCGUCCUCAAAGAUGAAUGUGAGGAGAGUGGAAAGCAUCUCAGCUCAGCUGGAGGAGGCGAGCUCCACAGGCGCCAAGUGCAACAUCUGAAAGGGAAACAGAAGGAAAGGAGAAUUACAGCUCUAAGAUACUUUCUGGUGGGCUAGAAGUGGAGAUGAAGCUAUUAAUAUCUCUCUUUAAUAUUCUUACAUCAUAAACUUCUGUUUUAUGUCUUGACAUUACCUUUUAUCUUACAGUGUCUUUUCCUUUGUUUGCAUUUAUCUUGGAUGAUAUUAUAUAUUAGUAAUGAUAUUGGAAAUGUGUGUAGGAACCUUGUGGGUAUCAUGUAAAACUAACAGCCACCCUAUUUAAUUUGAUGUUAAACUGAAACUAACUUAGUUUCCUUAGUCUCAGUUUACUCUCUAAGAAUCAGAAAUCAAUUUGUCUUUUUUUUUUUGUCUUUUUAGGGCUGCACCCUCAGUAUAUGGAAGUUUUAGGCUAGGGGUCAAAUCAGAACUGUAGCUGCCAGCCUGUGCCACAGCCACAGCAAUGCCAGAUCCAAGCCACGUCUGUGACCUACACCAUAGCUCACAGCAACACUGGAUCCUUAACCCACUGAUCAGGCCAGGGAUCAAACCUGCAUCCUCAUGGAUACUAGUCAGAUUCAUUUCCUCUGAGCCAUGGUGGAAACUCCUGUCUGGUUUUAAUAUUACUCAUUUCUCUUGGUAUAAAAUUAGAUUAGGUAAAAUUCAUUGUCAUUUUCAACACACCUCCUGUUGGAAUUAUUAGUCUACUCAAAUGCUGUCAAGAAGCUGCAGGUGAUCACAGGCCUAUGGUUUCAUGACACAAAAUAAUUGAUCUAAAAGUGAACCAUUUGGUCAAACAUUUAUGAGUAGGUGGCUCUUGACAUAGAAUAAAAUUAAGUAAACUUUGAGGUGAUCCA
rnacentral:lncRNA from 1 species